UGGGGGAUAUUGCACAAUGGGCGAAAGCCUGAUGCAGCGACGCCGCGUGGGGGAUGAAGGCCUUCGGGUUGUAAACUUCUUUUGCUCUGAACAAGGCGCACCAUGGGGUGUGUUGAGUGUAGGGGUUGAUUAGCGCCGGCUAACUACGUGCCAGCAGCCGCGGUAAUACGUAGGGCGCGAGCGUUGUCCGGAAUUAUUGGGCGUAAAGGGCUUGUAGGUGGCUGGUUGCGUCUGUCGUGAAAGCUCAUGGCUUAACUGUGGGUUUGCGUUGGGUACGGGCGGGCUGGAGUGCAGUAGGGGAGGCUGGAAUUCCUGGUGUAGCGGUGGAAUGCGCAGAUAUCAGGAGGAAUACGGGUGGCGAAGGCGGGUCUCUGGCUGUUACUGACACUGAGGAGCGAAAGCAUGGGGAGCGAACAGG
rnacentral:rRNA from 1 species